rnacentral:rRNA from 1 species
AGAGUUUGAUCCUGGCUCAGAACGAACGCUGGCGGCAGGCUUAACACAUGCAAGUCGAACGAACGUAGCAAUACGUUAGUGGCGCACGGGUGAGUAACGCGUGGAUAUCUGCCUUUUGGUUCGGGAUAACCUUGGGAAACUAGGGCUAAUACCGAAUGGUUCCUACGGGAUAAAGAUUUAUCGCCAAAAGAUGAGUCCGCGUCCGAUUAGCUAGUUGGUGAGGUAAUGGCUCACCAAGGCGACGAUCGGUAGCUGGUCUGAGAGGACGAUCAGCCACACUGGGACUGAGACACGGCCCAGACUCCUACGGGAGGCAGCAGUGGGGAAUAUUGGACAAUGGGGGCAACCCUGAUCCAGCCAUGCCGCGUGAGUGAUGAAGGCCUUCGGGUUGUAAAGCUCUUUUGGCGGGGACGAUGAUGACGGUACCCGCAGAAUAAGCCCCGGCUAACUUCGUGCCAGCAGCCGCGGUAAUAC